rnacentral:rRNA from 1 species
AUUGAACGCUGGCGGCAGGCCUAACACAUGCAAGUCGAACGAGUGGCGGACGGGUGAGUAAUGUCUGGGAAACUGCCCGAUGGAGGGGGAUAACUACUGGAAACGGUAGCUAAUACCGCAUACCAUCGGAUGAGCCCAGAUGGGAUUAGCUAGUAGGUGGGGUAAUGGCUAACCUAGGCGACGCUCCCUAGCUGGUCUGAGAGGAUGACCAGGCACACUGGAACUGAGACACGGUCCAGACUCCUACAGGAGGCAGCAGUGGGGAAUAUUGCACAAUGGGCGCAAGCCUGAUGCAGCCAUGCCGCGUGUAUGAAGAAGGCCUUCGGGUUGUAAAGUACUUUAAGCGAGGAGGCGUUACUCGCAGAAGAAGCACCGGAUAACUCCGUGCCAGCAGCCGCGGUAAUUC